UACGUAGGGUCCGAGCGUUGUCCGGAAUUACUGGGCGUAAAGGGCUCGUAGGCGGCCAACUAAGUCAGACGUGAAAAUCCCUCGGCUUAACCGGGGAACUGCGUCUGAUACUGGAUGGCUUGAGAUUGGGAGAGGGAUGCGGAAUUCCAGGUGUAGCGGUGAAAUGCGUAGAUAUCUGGAGGAACACCGGUGGCGAAGGCGACAUCCUGGACCAACACUGACGCUGAGGAGCGAAAGCCAGGGGAGCAAACGGG
rnacentral:rRNA from 1 species